GAUGAACGCUGGCGGCGUGCCUAAUACAUGCAAGUCGAACGCUGGAAAUCUAGCUUGCUAGAUUGAAGGAGUGGCGAACGGGUGAGUAAUACAUAAGCAACCUACCCACGAAGACUGGGAUAAUCUCUGGAAACGGGGACUAAUACCGGAUAGGUAAUCGGAAGGCAUCUUCUGAUUAUUAAAGGUUAAAAACACUGGUGGAUGGGCUUAUGGCGCAUUAGUUAGUUGGUGAGGUAACGGCCCACCAAGACGAUGAUGCGUAGCCGGCCUGAGAGGGUGAACGGCCACAUUGGGACUGAGACACGGCCCAGACUCCUACGGGAGGCAGCAGUAGGGAAUUGUCGGCAAUGGGGGAAACCCUGACCGAGCAACGCCGCGUGAGUGAUGACGGCCUUCGGGGUGUAAAGCUCUGUUGUAAGGGAAGAACGGUAGAUAGAGAAUAUCUAAAUGACGGUACCUUACCAGAAAGCCACGGCUAACUACGUG
rnacentral:rRNA from 1 species